rnacentral:rRNA from 1 species
AGAGUUUGAUCAUGGCUCAGAGUGAACGCUGGCGGCGUGGAUUAGGCAUGCAAGUCGCGCGAUCCUUGUUUGAAAUUUUAUUGAAUUUCACUUCGGUGAAAUGAUGUAAAACGGAUAACGCUGGAUAGCGGCAAACGGGUGAGUAACACGUAAGUAAUCUGCCCUAAAGUUAAACAUAGCUUCGUGAAAACGGAGGUAAUAUUUAAUGUGUUCCGACAUUCUCAUGGGAGUCGGAAUAAAGGUGGGGACCCUCGGGCCUACCGCUUUAGGAUGAACUUGCGUCCUAUCAGCUUGUUGGUAAGGUAACGGCUUACCAAGGCGUAUGACGGGUAGCUGGUCUGAGAGGAUGGUCAGCCACACUGGGACUGAGACACUGCCCAGACUCCUACGGGAGGCUGCAGUCGAGAAUCUUUAGCAAUGGGCGAAAGCCUGACUAUGCGACGCCGCGUGCAGGAUGACGGCCUUCGGGUUGUAAACUGCUUUUAUCUGGAAAGAACACUUCGACAUUAAUAUUGUCGAAGCUGACGGUACCUGAAGAAUAAGCCACGGCCAACUCCGUGCCAGCAGCCGCGGUAAUACGGAGGUGGCGAGCGUUACUCGGAAUUAUUGGGUGUAAAGGGCAAGUAGGCGGUCUGUUAAGUGAGGGGUGAAAUCUCCCGACUCAAUCGGGAAACUGCCUUUCAAACUGUCAGACUUGAGGUUGGAAGAGGGAAAUGGAAUUAGCAGUGUAAGGGUGAAAUCUGUAGAUAUUGCUAAGAACGCCAACGGCGAAGGCAAUUUCCUGGUCCAAACCUGACGCUCAAUUGCGAAAGCUAGGGUAGCAAACAGAAUUAGAUACUCUGGUAGUCCUAGCUGUAAACGAUGAGCACUAGGUGUCGGCCUUUCGGGGUCGGUGCCGCAGCUAACGCAUUAAGUGCUCCACCUGGGGACUACGGCCGCAAGGCUAAAACUCAAAGGAAUUGACGGGGACCCGCACAUGCGGUGGAACAUGUGGUUUAAUUCGAUGCUACGCGAAGAACCUCACCAGGGCUUGACAUGUAGGAAGUAGUGAACUGAAAGGGGAUCGACCCGUUAAGUCCGGGAACCUACACAGGUGCUGCAUGGCUGUCGUCAGCUCGUGUCGUGAGAUGUUGGGUUAAGUCCCGCAACGAGCGCAACCAUUGCCCCAUGUUGCUACCUUCACCAUUCUACUUCGGUAGACGGUGGAGCGCACUCUUGGGGGACUGCCUGGGAUAACCAGGAGGAAGGUGGAGAUGACGUCAAGUCAGUACGGCCUUUAUGCCCUGGGCUACACACGUGUUACAAUGACAAGUACAAAGGGUAGCCGACCCGCGAGGGGGAGCUAAUCUCAAAAAACUUGCCUCAGUUCGGAUUGGAGUCUGCAAUUCGACUCCAUGAAGCUGGAAUCGCUAGUAAUGGAAGAUCAGCACGCUUCCAUGAAUACGUUCCCGGGUCUUGUACACACCGCCCGUCAAGCGAUGAAAGCCGGGGGUACCCGAAGUCCUAUGUAGAUAGGCCGAAGGUAAAACUGGUAAUUGGCGCUAAGUCGUAACAAGGUA